rnacentral:rRNA from 1 species
AGCGAACGCUGGCGGCAGGCCUAACACAUGCAAGUCGAACGAACCUUUCGGGGUUAGUGGCGGACGGGUGAGUAACACGUGGGAACGUGCCUUUAGGUUCGGAAUAACUCAGGGAAACUUGUGCUAAUACCGAAUGUGCCCUUCGGGGGAAAGAUUUAUCGCCUUUAGAGCGGCCCGCGUCUGAUUAGCUAGUUGGUUGAGGUAAUGGCUCACCAAGGCGACGAUCAGUAGCUGGUCUGAGAGGAUGCUCAGCCACAUUGGGACUGAGACACGGCCCAAACUCCUACGGGAGGCAGCAGUGGGGAAUCUUGCGCAAUGGGCGAAAGCCUGACGCAGCCAUGCCGCGUGAAUGAUGAAGGUCUUAGGAUUGUAAAAUUCUUUCACCGGGGACGAUAAUGACGGUACCCGGAGAAGAAGCCCCGGCUAACUUCGUG